CCUACGGGAGGCAGCAGUAAGGAAUAUUGGUCAAUGGACGAAAGUCUGAACCAGCCAUGCCGCGUGAAGGAUGACGGCCCUCUGGGUUGUAAACUUCUUUUAUAUGGGACGAAAAAAGGGAAUUCUUUCUCACUUGACGGUACCAUAGGAAUAAGCACCGGCUAACUCCGUGCCAGCAGCCGCGGUAAUACGGAGGGUGCAAGCGUUAUCCGGAUUCACUGGGUUUAAAGGGCGCGUAGGUGGGUAGGUAAGUCAGUGGUGAAAUCUCCGAGCUUAACUCGGAAACUGCCAUUGAUACUAUUUAUCUUGAAUUUUUUGGAGGUGAGCGGAAUAUGUCAUGUAGCGGUGAAAUGCUUAGAUAUGACAUAGAACACCAAUUGCGAAGGCAGCUCACUACGAAAUUAUUGACACUGAGGCACGAAAGCGUGGGGAUCAAACAGGAUUAGAUACCCUGGUAGUCCACGCCCUAAACGAUGGAUACUCGACAUCAGCGAUACACUGUUGGUGUCUGAGCGAAAGCAUUAAGUAUCCCACCUGGGAAGUACGACCGCAAGGUUGAAACUUAAGGAAUUGACGG
rnacentral:rRNA from 1 species